GAUGGAUGCUGGCGGCGUGCUUAACACAUGCAAGUCGAGCGGUAAGGCCCUUUUAGGGUACACGAGCGGCGGACGGCUGAGUAACGCGUGGGAACAUACCCUAAAGUGAGGAGUAAGCUCCAGAAAUGGAGUCUAAUGCCGCAUAUGAUCUUCGGAUUAAAGGAUUUAUCCGCUUUAGGAGUGGCCUGCGUACGAUUAGCUUGUUGGUGAGGUAAUGGCUUACCAAGGCGACGAUCGUUAGCUGGUCUGAGAGGAUGACCAGCCAGACUGGAACUGAGACACGGUCCAGACUCCUACGGGAGGCAGCAGUGAGGAAUCUUCCACAAUGGGCGAAAGCCUGAUGGAGCAACGCCGCGUGCAGGAUGAAGGCCCUCGGGUCGUAAACUGCUUUUAUGAGUGAAGAAUAUGACGGUAACUCAUGAAUAAGCACCGGCUAACUACGUGCCAGCCGCCGCCGUAA
rnacentral:rRNA from 1 species